rnacentral:rRNA from 1 species
UACGUAGGUGGCAAGCGUUUGUCCGGAUUUAUUGGGCGUAAAGCGAGCGCAGGCGGUUGCUUAGGUCUGAUGUGAAAGCCUUCGGCUUAACCGAAGAAGUGCAUCGGAAACCGGGCGACUUGAGUGCAGAAGAGGACAGUGGAACUCCAUGUGUAGCGGUGGAAUGCGUAGAUAUAUGGAAGAACACCAGUGGCGAAGGCGGCUGUCUGGUCUGCAACUGACGCUGAGGCUCGAAAGCAUGGGUAGCGAACAGG